GUUACUGUCUGGUGUCUUCUCCUUCCUCCAAUACAACUCUGUCUGUGUUCUGAUUGACAAAUGUGUUCUAUUUCUCCAUGUUAUGGGGCCAAGUAUUUGAGGUGCAAAGUGCAACUAGUUGUCCUUCUCCUGAAGAGGAUGAGCCAGCAUGCCUCAGACUUCUGAAACUGACAUCUUCUCCAAUGUACAGGUUCAUGCGUUCGCAUAGGAUGGUUGCAUCUGUGAUGCUCUGUGGGAAGUCUGCAUGACCAAAGUUUCUUCCAGCUACAUUGUGACAGAGAGCAAGAGGGUUAACGCAGGCUGUGGCCAAUUCUGAGGACCUGAGCUCAUUCCAGAUGACAGCAGACUCGACCACAGGACUGUGACUGAUUGGAUCUGCUCUGCUACUGUGCCCUGACUCUGGUCCCACCUGGGGCAGCUCUUCAGAAGGCCAGCACCACCCCUCCACAGAUGGUCAGCUGGGGGGACCUAAUGCCCUCUGAGCUGGGACAGGGAGAGUUACCACCUGACAGAUGUAGAUUCAACUUUAUAAAAGCAGGAACCCAAAUCAACUGCUCUGUUGAAAUGAGUGGCCAUAGGGACAGUGUGUCCA